GCUCGUGCACACACGCAAAAGCACGCAGUGACGCAGGAGAAAAAAAGCACUGCGUCAUGAACAGUGUUCUAUUUGUUCAUUUGUUAUCGAUCGGCCUCUCAAUCAAUCAAUAAUACUAAAUAGGAGUACAUCGUUUGGACAGAAGCUUGAGGUUUCAGCAUUUCCUGCUCCAGUUACACAAAAAAGAUUAGGAGAGAGAUGAAAAACCUAAGCACAAUCACUGACCCCUUUCGCUUCUCCAUCCCAAGCUGCAGCUGCUGGCGUGGUCCAUGCUCGAGACAAUGGCGUAGCAGUACAAUGAUGCAACCCGCACGUGCCAGUUUCGCACGUGUCCAUUCAGAAUAAGUGCACUUGCACGAUGCCGAAGGCUGCUGCUCCUUUUGCCAUGCAUGCUGCGCUGACUGGCAGUUGGAGGAGACUCCAAGAACAGAUGGAGUAAUCGUGGGUAGUUUAGUAGCGACCGAGUGCUCACUAUUUACGCCAGAACGCGCAUCUAUUGGUAGCGCCUGGACGAGGAGCUGGAGUUGGAGGAGACGCUGCGCCAGAAGCCGGCGCCGUAGAAGUGCGAGCUCAUGAUCUCGCGCUCCAGCUCCGCCGCCGCCGCCGACUCCACCUCGCCGCGCGCCUCCUCGUCGAUGUCUAGCGUCGCCGCUCCGAUCAUCGCCUUGCCGCUGCUUCCCGAAGGCGACGCGGGCGCCGGCCUCUUCCGGUUGGCUCCGGCACCUCCGUGGCCGCGGCGGCGCCGGCGCCUCCUCCUCACCCGCCGCAUGACGCCCGCGGGGAGCCGGACGGUGACGAGCAGCAGCACGUCGAGCAGCGCCAGCGGGCAGCAGCAGCACACCGCCGCGCAGUUCGCCGCCGCCUGCCCCGCGCCCUCCCCGCACCCCGGCUGGGGCUCAUGCUCGUCCUCGCCGUCGCCGUCGCCGUCGCCGUGCCAGUGCUCGCGCAUGCGCCCCGCUCCCCUUCCCGAUCGCGAGCCCGCCGCCGAUUCUUUCCUGGAGCCCUUGGCGCUCCCCGCACAGGUUGCCGCCGGCUGCGUGCGUCAACACCCAGCCAAGAUUUCUUUUAAAAGGAAGAUACCCUGCUUUGUGCUCUCGGACGGAGUGGUAUUUAGAGAGGGAGGUGUGUAUUGGUUGGUGGAGGUGGAGCAGGGAGAGAGAGAGGGGGAGGGAGAGGACGAGGAUAGAGGCGGCGAUGGCGUGCGUGGCGUCGGCUUCCUUUUCUUUCUCGCGGUCGCGGCUGCUCCGCGCCUCCCCGCCGGGAAAGAGAGGGGAAAAAAAAUCAAUCCCCAAUUUUCCUCCGCCCGUGACGUAUUUAUCGCUCCCGUUCGCCGGAUGGUGACCGCAAGACUGCAAAACACACGAAACAUUUAUGCACAAAUUUGUCAAGACGCGGCGGGUUUUGUGACGUGGGAACGCGGGCGACGCCACGCGGG
rnacentral:misc_RNA from 1 species